AUGAACGCUGGCGGCGUGCCUAAUCCAUGCAAGUCGAGCGAACAGGCGAGGAGCUUGCUCCUCUGACGUUAGCGGCGGACGGGUGAGUAACACGUGGAUAACCUACCUAUAAGACUGGGAUAACUUCGGGAAACCGGAGCUAAUACCGGAUAAUAUAUUGAACCGCAUGGUUCAAUAGUGAAAGACGGUUUUGCUGUCACUUAUAGAUGGAUCCGCGCCGCAUUAGCUAGUUGGUAAGGUAACGGCUUACCAAGGCGACGAUGCGUAGCCGACCUGAGAGGGUGAUCGGCCACACUGGAACUGAGACACGGUCCAGACUCCUACGGGAGGCAGCAGUAGGGAAUCUUCCGCAAUGGGCGAAAGCUUGACGGAGCAACGCCGCGUGAGUGAUGAAGGUCUUCGGAUCGUAAAACUCUGUUAUUAGGGAAGAACAAAUGUGUAAGUAACUAUGCACGUCUUGACGGUACCUAAUCAGAAAGCCACGGCUAACUACGUG
rnacentral:rRNA from 1 species